CCUACGGGGGGCAGCAGUGGGGAAUAUUGGACAAUGGGCGAAAGCCUGAUCCAGCCAUGCCGCGUGUGUGAAGAAGGCCUUCGGGUUGUAAAGCACUUUCAGUGGGGAAGAAAGCCUUGGGGCUAAUACCCUCGAGGAAGGACAUCACCCACAGAAGAAGCAUCGACUAACUCCGUGCCAGCAGCCGCGGUAAUACGGAGGGUGCGAGCGUUAAUCGGAAUUACUGGGCGUAAAGCGCGCGUAGGCGGUCUGAUAAGCCGGUUGUGAAAGCCCCGGGCUCAACCUGGGAACGGCAUCCGGAACUGUCAGGCUAGAGUGCAGGAGAGGAAGGUAGAAUUCCCGGUGUAGCGGUGAAAUGCGUAGAGAUCGGGAGGAAUACCAGUGGCGAAGGCGGCCUUCUGGACUGACACUGACGCUGAGGUGCGAAAGCGUGGGUAGCAAACAGGAUUAGAUACCCGUGUAGUC
rnacentral:rRNA from 1 species